UCUCCUGGAAACGGGUGGUAAUGCCGGAUGCUCCAGUUGAUCGCAUGGUCUUCUGGGAAAGCUUUCGCGGUAUGGGAUGGGGUCGCGUCCUAUCAGCUUGACGGCGGGGUAACGGCCCACCGUGGCUUCGACGGGUAGCCGGCCUGAGAGGGCGACCGGCCACAUUGGGACUGAGAUACGGCCCAGACUCCUACGGGAGGCAGCAGUGGGGAAUAUUGCACAAUGGGCGCAAGCCUGAUGCAGCGACGCCGCGUGAGGGAUGGAGGCCUUCGGGUUGUAAACCUCUUUUAUCGGGGAGCAAGCGAGAGUGAGUUUACCCGUUGAAUAAGCACCGGCUAACUACGUGCCAGCAGCCGCGGUAAUACGUAGGGUGCAAGCGUUAUCCGGAAUUAUUGGGCGUAAAGGGCUCGUAGGCGGUUCGUCGCGUCCGGUGUGAAAGUCCAUCGCUUAACGGUGGAUCUGCGCCGGGUACGGGCGGGCUGGAGUGCGGUAGGGGAGACUGGAAUUCCCGGUGUAACGGUGGAAUGUGUAGAUAUCG
rnacentral:rRNA from 1 species